AUGAAGAGAAGAGGUAAAGGAGGGGGGGCGGGAGGGAGCGCUCCUGAGCUCCUUAGCUCCCCUGAGAGCUGCAUCACCUCUGCUGAGGAGGCUUUCACUCAGAGCUUAUGAUUCCUGAGCUCCCAUGUCUCAGGAUGCUGUUCCAUUGGGACACUGCCCCACCUCAGAGCUGUAAGGUUCCUGAGCUCCCGUGUCUCAGGAGUUCCUCUCCAUCCUCAUCCUUCAUCUUGCAAGAGUGAAUCCUCCCCUCUGUGAUUCCACAGUGCUUUUCCCACAAUCCUACAAAAAGCUUAGCUGUAAUUGUGAGUUAUUUAAUUAUCUACCUCUCACAGUAAAUUUUGAAGUCCUCAAGGGCAGAGUCCUUGUUUGCAUUUAUGUACCCUGGUCUAGCCUUGGCCCUUCUGUGGGCAAGUACUGUGCAUCUUUUAUUUAGGUAUGAACCUGUACCACAUUAAGAUAUCAUGAGCUGGGAGUCUAGGAAGACUGUGUAAGGAUCAAGGAAGUUUAUCUACUUAGAGAAAAAAUCCCGGAGACUGAAGCAACUGUAUUGAAGUAAUCCCCAGAGUUUGAAUUAACUAUGAAAGGAUACAACACAGUAGCCAGGUUAAAAGUAAUAUUCAAUUUCCAAAUAAAUGUUCUUAGAAACAAGAGACUUUAACUAGAUAAGGGAAGAAAGAGUUCAUAUUUCAACAAAAAGAUCCAGCUGGGGAAGGGAGACCAAACACAGCAUAAGCGAACUGUCAAGCAGUCAAAGAAAUGAGAGGAAGUGGAACCUAGAAUCGUCUGGGCUUGAGGCCUAAGUCCCAGGUUCCAGCAGGCUUUACCUAGAGUGAGUGAACACUGCAGUGCUGGUGUGGUUGAUAAAAGAGUCCCUGACUACAGGAGGAACUUAGCCAGGCAGGCCCAGUGGCAAUGCUGGCAUAUGAGCCGUUGAUACUUCCUUCCUGAGCCAACCUAGGUCUUCCAGCACGGCUAGAGACUGCUAAUGUUGGAUCAGGCAUUGGAGUGAGCCACUGAGAAAAUGACAGCAUUAUAUCUGGCUACUUGAAAAACAAUGAGAUGCUAGGAAGGAGGUAUAGAGGCUUGCCCAGUUCCCGUAGUAAACGAGUCCUCUUCUGCCAUUUGCCUGCCUCUGGGAGUCUGGAUUAUUGACUCUGUGCUUACUUACCCCCUCCUCCAAGGGUCUUGGUCGGAGUCACAAGCAACAUCUGGGGCCUAGUACAGUGCUCUCUACCCGUGUGGGUAUGGGCAUCGAGCUUGCUUGAGUUCAGGUUUUUUUGUUUGUUUGUUUUGUUUUUUAUUGCAGUUAUCCUUUUUGCCUUAUGGUCAAGUGCCCUCCUUUGGCUUCCCCCCGCCCCUCGACACGCACUGUAAACUGACCCCUUCGUGGUCUAUGUGCUUUGCCCCCAUAUAAGCAUGAGGCUUUUGUUUUAUUCCUUUGUGUCCUUUGUCCAGAAAGGGAGGUAGGUAUAGCAGGAACAGCAGAGCUGCCUCUAUGUAAACGCUGGGCGCCGUGCAGCUACAAAAGCAUCUCCUGUAGGAGGACCUAAUUGAGGACUGCCUGAGAGAACAAAGAUUUCUGGUGCAAACAAUGCUAGCAAGUCGGGAAGUAUUUUCUCAGGACCAAUGGGGCGUGGGCGGAGGGUAUCAAAGGAGCUUGCAGCUGAGCUCAGAUGAGCUUGCUACAGCAUUCUCACCUGCUCCUGAGUCUGUGUCUUGCAUGGCUCUGUGCCAACUCAACCCAAGCCCCAAGGGCAGGUAAGGUCAGGCAGCGAGCUGUCCAGAGCGCAGGGAACAGGGAGGUACAUACAAACCUGGCUUACUUUGCUCUAAUUAGAAAGGCAGCCAAUGAACACAAAGGUCAUGAACUCACAAACCUAUUAUGACUGAUACAAUCUUCUUAAAGCAGUACUGGAGCCCACCACGUUUUUAAACUGGUGGUCAGCACAUCAGGACCUGGCUGAGAGUCAGGCACACUUAAAUCUUGAAUAUAACCUUAACAUCACCCUAGACCUGCUGACCGGCCCACAGGGCAAACAAUAACCCAGUUACAAAAGCUACUAUCAGCCAACCAGCCUACUUCAGCCAGGUGGCCAAUCUGUCUUUCAAGGCCCUUAAGGCCUGCACUCCCAGAGAUCCCUCUGCCUACUUCCCUACAACAAUCUGACAAGUCCUUUAUGGACUUUCUCACAAGGACUACUGAGGCAGUGGAGGGAAGGGUCGAUUCAGGACCCACUCGAGACAUGCCUUUUAAACAAUUGGCUUGGGAGGGUCUUAAUGUUUCCACCCGAGACGCAGAGGUGGCAGUCCACAGUAAUGAUAGCCUUCAUACAUGGGUAGUGUCCACCAGAGACCUUGACCUAGGCCAGACCCUAUAGCAACUCUGACUACCUUUCCCAGUGCCCUCUUGGCAUCAGGCAAAGAUCUGAGGACAGACUUGCAGAGAGGCCUGCCUGAUGUCAUCAAAGAAGACCUGCUCAUCCAUCGUAAGGAUGGUGCCCAUGUCCUCUAAUGUGUCCCUGCCCCAAAGAGUGUGAGGGAUGUCAGCAACAACAAAUCCCAUCUAGGCGUCCAGUCAUGGGUGAAUGUGAAAACUUAAGGAGAGCCCACCAUUUAGUCGUCUUGGAGCAGUCUCCUCUUAUUGACAGGGCUGAGGGACACGCCUUUCGGAGCAUUAAGACAUCCUCAGAGUUUAUCAGAGGAGUUCUAAGACCUGCAGUCUCCCGCCCAGUGAAAUCCUUUAUUAUUGCAAGGACACUUUGUCCUUGGCCUACUGUUCAGGCAGUCUCUACAGAGAUGUCCUGUCUUUCUGCAGUCACAGCAGGAGCAAUGGCUGACAGGCUCUCCUUAAGUUUUCACAUUCACCCAUGACUGGACAUCUAGAUGGGAUUUGUUGUUGCUGACAUCCCUCACACUCUUUGGGGCAGGGACACAUUAGAGGACAUGGGUGCCAUCCUUACAAUGGAUAAUCAGGUCUUCUUUGAUGACAUCAUGGAACGUGAACAGCUCAAGGCCUCCUAAAAGGGGAUCACCCCCAAUUCUAAGGGACACCGCCCACCCAGGGCCUCCUUCCAUCUCGGUAUCUGACUCUCGGUAUCCACACUGCUGGCCUGGACGUCAGAUACUGAUAUCUGGGUGAACCAGCGGCCAAUCACUGAACCAAAAUUGUCCACACUCAAAGAACUGGUUGAGGAACAACUUAAAUUGGGCCACUUAGAGCCCUCGACCAGUAGACAUAACACCCUAUCUUUGUUAUAAAAAGGAAGUCAGGAAAAUAUAGACCCUUACGAGAUCUGAGAACUAUCAGUGAACAAAUGGGAGAAAUGGGGACUACUCAGGCGGGACUGCCUCAUCCCGGUGCCCUCCCAGCCUUCUGUCACAGACUGGUGAUGGAUAUGAAGGACUGAUGUUUUCCAAAUCCUCCUGGCACUACAGGACGGAUGCAGAUGUGCCUUUACAGUGUGGGAGCCUAGUAUAGAAAAGACCAGCUAAGAGACACCAAUGGACAUCCUCCCACAGGGAAUGAAAAAUAGACCCACCAUCUGCCAGCUUUCAGUGGCUGAGCUGUGCCUCAAGCAGUCCCUGAAGAUAUUUUGAUCAUCCGCUAGAUGAACAACAUUAUGCUGGCACAUCCUGAUUCAUCUCCUUUACAAGGAGUUACCUCACAGCUCCUAAGACUUAGAAGAGCUUAAUCUGUGGGCUGCCCCCUGAAAAGCUUCAGUCAGUGCCCCUGUAUGCCUCUCUGGGAUUCUCUUUCUAAGCAGAUUAGACCCCUGGCCUUCUCUAUUUCUUGGAAAGAGAUCUACUCCCUCAUGGGGCUUCAAUAACUAUGUGGGACUGUUAAUUGGUUAAAACCAUUUCUUCUGAUCCCAGAUUAAGAAAUGAGAAAUCUCUUCUCCCCAUCGGAAGGCCCCGAUAGCCCCUGACUAAAAUCACCCUUACGCAGGACGGUAAGAGACUCCUGCAGAAGAUAAUGGCCUGCUUGUCUGACAUGAGCCUUAAUAGGCAUGACCCUUUGAGGCCUUUGCUGGCAACAAUUAUUUGGGUCCUAGGGGCCCUGUGGCAAAAUGGCCCCCUCAUGUGACUGCACCAAGCUCACUCAGAAAUACAUAAGGUAACUUCCAAAUAUGAAAUCACCUUUAAGCUUGCUCUUAAGGCUUGGCAAGAGAAUUUGUAAUAAGGAACCUGAUAAGGUAAUAUUGCCCUUUUCUCUUAAGCACUCUCAACCCGUAAUGGCAGAUUCCCUUACUUUUCAAGAAAUGAUGACAGGCUUUGCAGACACUCCCCAGAUAACCACCUGGCGGCCCCUUCCCACUUACAUAUUGAAAUUAAGCCCUACAGCCUCCCCAGUUGUACCCUGAUCCCUAAGGCCACUGCCAACAAAGAUACGGGAUAUUACUAGAGGCCAGACUUGAAGGAUGUUACUCCAUCCUUCUGAACCCUGGAUCAGACCAAUUAGGGGAGUUGUUGGGACUCCUGAGGAUCUCUGAACUCUGUCAGACUGAGCCUGUCAUAUUUUCAGACAAUCAGUACGCAGUAUAGACUCUUUGAACCCUACCAUUGUCCUACACAAUAGUUAUAAAAGCCCAUACACGUCCUUAUGACUCCCUUCAAGGAGCCCUUGAGCACAGGGCACAGCACGGUUCAUUUCUCAUAUCAUAGCCCACUCCAGGCUGCCAGCAAUCUUGGCUAAGGGCAAUGAGAUGACUGACUUAAUGACUGUUGACCAGGGGUUCUUGGAACAGGCUAGACCAUUGCAUCAACAAUUUCUCCUUUCCUUGAGAAACUUAGAAAAGCACUUUCCAGAAUUAUCCAUGACACAAUGCAGACAUCACGCAAGAUCUCACCUCACUUGCACCCCAUUUGCACCGUGAGUGCCUCUCAAUAGGGGAGGUGUCAACCCAAGAAGGUUACUCCCCAAUGUUAUUUGGUGGAUGGGUGGGACUCACUAGCCCUCUUUUGGUAAUUUUAGAUAUGUACAAGCUAUUGUAGGCACUUGCUCCUCCCUUGUAUAUGCUGUGGCCUUGAUGGGAGAAAAAGCUUCCCUCCACAUCAAGGCUGUGAAAUCUGUUAUGUUGGUUAUGGGUGUUCCAUGGGCUUCCAAGACGGGUAAUGACCCUGCCUAUGCCUCUCAACAAUUCAGUGAGAUUAACCAUACUUUUGGGAUUGCCUAACCCUCAAGACCAAGUGAUAAUAGAAAGGUCCACUGGGACUCUAAAGGAGUUUACCUCCCCGGAAUCUAAACGUGACCCUCACUUAGCCCUGGGAAGAGGCCUUGUCUCACCUAAACUUCCUUACUUUUGAUGAUCAGGAUUAAGCCCUGCCUAUAAGCAUUGGGCCUUCCUACCCAGGAAUACCCGUCUACAUUGGUACAAUGGAGAGAUCUCCUAACGUCACGAUGGCAGUCACCUGCCCUCUUGCUGAUGUGUUUUUCCUCAGGACUCCACAACGCCAGGAUGGGUAAGCCAUGGAAGAGGAGGACAGGGAUGAAGCCUCCUCACCCUGACUGAAGAGGCAGCAUUUGUUAGAGAUGUGUCUCUACUUGCCUGUGAUCGUUUUCAUGCCACCCAUCUUACACUUUAUCAAGUACAAAAUGUUUCCUAGGCUCAUGAACCGCUGGCCCACUACAUUAAGAGAACCUGAUCCAACAAAUUCUUAAAGAGAGGAUAUCAACACCCGGAGAUGACACGUAGCAGGUAGUUGGCUGGAAUGCUGAGUGGUAAGUGUAGAGCGAAUAAGGGAUAGUUUUGGGUUUGUGUACAUAUUGAAAGGGAUAGAGACAUCUGCCCUCCAGGUACCCCUCCAGCCUGAGUGAGCUUUCUUGUUCUUUCCUCCUGGGAAAGACUCCUUGGGAUAGAAGGAUUCCUUCCAGCCAGCUGUGAGCCCGACUGUUUCCUGUGUCAUCCACACCCUCUCUCACGUCUCUGGCCAAGUUGGACAGGACCUAGUUAUGGUGGCCUUGCUGUUUAAGAUAGGAAGGACCUUUCUGGAACAUUCUGCAACAUGCUUUGGUCAAUUUCUAGAUAUUUCUGCUGGAAAGGCAGGAGGCAUUAGAGUUAAAUGUCAUCCUCUACUAAAUAUGGGGUUCUAAAGCCACUGACACCUAGGAGGGUGGCCCCCUUGGAGCCUGUACAGGGCAUACCCAGACAUCAAAUUCUCAGCACAAAGGAGAUUAUUACCCAGGAGGGGUACUGUGUGUGUGUGUGUGUGUGUGUGUGUGUGUGUGUGUGUGUGUGUACCAAAAAGGAGCAAGCAAAAAGCAGGUGGGUUUUUGUUUGGUUUUUGUUUGGUUUUGUGCAGGAGCAGGAGUGGGUUUUUAAGGAGAAAAAGGGGGUGGAGUCUGUGCUAAGGUGAGUUGGUAAAUUAAUUUUGAUUGCACGUUAGGCAAACAAUGAAUUUUGAUUUUUGGACCUUGGUGUUUUGUCUCAAAAUGAGUCAGAGGCCAAAUAAGGGAACAGAACUUGGGGAUUAAUUAUAAGAAAGCAAACAGUUUUUAGCAAGGGGGAGAAGGUUAAAAGGCAAAGUCUCUCAGCCCCACUUUGCCAUGUUCAAGCCUGUUAGACCCUGCAACGCCAGUGGCAGGAGAAUGCCCCUUUCAAGGCUCAGCUUGGUGAGGACAGUAAGAGGCAUGUGGAAACAGGCUGAGUUGAAGAUGAUACCACACAACCAGCUUUCCUUAGGGGAUGCUUUGAAACCAGGUCAGUUCUGCACAGGGAAUGAUGUAUACACAGCCCCUGACCUGAAGUGGAUGAUGAUCUCAGGACAGGCCUCGGAAAAAAGCUUUGGAGUCCCACCUAGACACCUCGCAUCCCUGUCCUUCAAGACGAUUUUCCUCCAGUUGGGCUGUCUCUGAAAUACUCCAAACUCAUUUCCUUCCAUAACUUAGGUAUAUAUUUCUCAUGUCCCAUAACACUCUUACUAUAUCACCUCCUCCCUUGUAUCUCUCUUGCCUUUCCUUCAAAAUCUUAUGUCCCAUAACACUCUUACUAUAUCCCCCUUUCCCUUGUACCUCUCUUGUCUUUCCUUUGAAAUCAUAUCCUAGGGGGUGGAGAGAUGGCUUGAAGGCUAAGAGAACUUCUUGAUGCUCUUCCAGAGGACCUGGGUUCAGUCCCUAGCAGUCACAUCAGGAGGCCCACAGUCACCAGUAACUCCAGUUUCAGGAAAUUGGACGACACCUUCUGGCCUCCUGAGGAGCCAGUCUUCCACUAGCAGCCUUCCGAUGAAGAUGAAGAACUCUCAGCUCCUCCUGCACCAUGCCUGCCUGGAUGCUGCCAUGCUCCCACCGUGAUGAUAAUGGACUGAACCUCUGAACCUGAGGGCCACCCCAAUUAAAUGCUGUCC